rnacentral:rRNA from 1 species
ACUCCUACGGGAGGCAGCAGUGGGGAAUAUUGCACAAUGGGGGAAACCCUGAUGCAGCCAUGCCGCGUGUGUGAAGAAGGCCUUCGGGUUGUAAAGCACUUUCAGAGGGAGGAAGGUAGUGUAGUUAACACCUGCAUUAUUUUGACGUUACCUACAGAAGAAGCACCGGCUAACUCCGUGCCAGCAGCCGCGGUAAUACGGAGGGUGCGAGCGUUAAUCGGAAUUACUGGGCGUAAAGCGCAUGCAGGCGGCCUGUUAAGUCAGAUGUGAAAGCCC